UCCUUUCCAAGCCUGAUUUGCUUUUUGCUUAUUUCUAACAUGGAUUCUCUUUCUUUCAGGUGAUUUCGACUUAGCGGAUGCGUUUGAUGACGGCCCCAAGAAGCCCACGCCGACGCCAAAGAAACCCGGUUCCGACGAUGGCUUCAGUUUAGAAGAUGCUGUGGGCGGUGGAGGACACAGUGACCCAGGAAUCCCUGCUCCCCCGAGGCCCAAACCGAAUCCGAACCCAAAGCAGCCAGAAACCUCAGGGGGAUUUUCAGAUUCCGACCUCCUGGACGGGACCUCAGGGGGAGGUAGGAAGACUCAUUCCUUUUGUGGCUUUUCUGCACCGACAGUGGCACCGG